rnacentral:tRNA from 1 species
GCUGGGUUAGCUCAGUGGUAGAGCGCCGACUUGGUAUGUCGGAGGCCGAGAGUUCAAUCCUCUCACUCAGCUC